CAGCCACAGAACUCGUAGCGUGGUGACCCAUGGGGCACCAGGACUCAGCUGCUGGCAGGCUCUGGGAGGGGCACCUGAGGUGUGGCUCCUGGUAGCUCACAGGUCCACUCUGUCCUGUAGCUACUGGGUCUCCUGCCAGCUGGAGCCCGCACACCAGAAGGCGAGCAAAAUGCGGCUCUUCAGGAGAACGAGGAACCGGACAUCCUCCAGUUCAGGGCCAACCACCAUGCCCUUGGCGAUGAGCCGUCACACUCUGGAGACCACAAGUGCAGCUCCUCCUGACCAGCAGGGACACUGGCGCCCUCGGGGUGCACCGGGCCAGCUCUUCCCACCCUGAGUGAAUGAGGACAUCCUAAGACUUUCCCUGGUUUCCCCUAAAUCCCCAGAGGGAGGGCACCACCCCCUCCCUCUCCCUGACAUCACCACGCCAGCCACUGUUAACCCAUUGGGGAGGAGUGAUAUUAUUUCUUUAAUAGUAAAUGGUAGAUUUGA